rnacentral:lncRNA from 1 species
CUUAAUCAUUGAAUCAUGUCAUAAAAUUAAUGCAUAAAUUAAUUACAAUCUAACCUAAACUACUAUAAUGACAAGAUAUUAACCCUUUAAACCAACCCAUCUCAUUAUGCAAGCCGAGUGACAUGACAUAAACUUAUCACAAACUGUUGCAUUUAUUCAGAUACCAAACUGCCGUUGGGCAGACAUAAGACUCAAAUAUAGUCAAACUAGAAAGGCAGAUAGUUUUCCGAAACCAAAUCAUAAAUCCAAAAUAAACCGGCCCUAACAAGUGGGCAACCCAAAAAUCUGAAAUCGAGUCCGAAAACAUCAAAAAGAAAACAGUUUCUCAAGUACUACAAACUCCAAAGAAAGUAAACAUGGUAUUCCAUCCUCAAAACCGCUCACUCUGAGUCCCGUGACAUCCUUAACAUCCACUAUAGUUCUUGCAGGCAGUCUCCACGCUAGUGUCUUUAGUAUCACCUAGUGAGUGGUUUUGGGUCAGUGUUACAUGCUUAAAUAUUAGUGUUUUACAUAAGCUUUUAAUUCUUGAGUACAUAUUCAUAUUAGGAUGACGAUCCAAAUAAUAACAUUACUAGAGAUUACAUACCUGAUUACAGUUGACAUGAUUCACUUAACAUAAUUUACAUAACAUGAUUUACUUGACAUGGCAUCUAGGGCCCCCCAUUAACUCUACUAACUAGCCAAACCGCCUAAAGUGUGAACGUGAGAGUACAAGAGUACGUAUCCAUCGAACCAUAAACAUGACGGGCAUCAUCCAACCGAAACAUGAAACAUGAAGGUAACAUGACAAGGCGACGGUCUAGUUAGAGAGAGACGUGUUAUUAUAUCGCCUAUCAUAAUCUUACUUGUUUUUAUGUGAUUGAUAAUAUAACAUGAUAAUAAUCGGAAACAUAAUACAAGUUAUCAACAUGAAUACGGUAAAGAUAAGGAUUUACUAGUAACAUAACAUAUCACGAAGGUAAUCAUGGAAACAUGACACAUGGCAUCAACAUGAAUAUAGCAACCAUGAGGAUUUACUAGUAACAUAACUUAUCAGGAAGGUAAUCAUGGAAACAUGACACAUGGUAUCAACAUAAAUAUAAUAAUGAUGAUUAUUUACUAUGAAACACAUAGCUACACAUAGAGCACGUAAGUAGGUAAGCAGUUAACUCUAGGCACAUUCCGAAACAAAGCAACAUAAGAAUUUACCCCCUUAAACCAUUCACUUGGAAAAGUAAAGUGGCAAGGGUCCAACAUGGAAGCCCGAGAACUAAAUUCAAAAGCGGACAUGGCUCUAAGAACAUGAUUGCGAGAAUUUAGGUAUUAGACUACGACUUGAUUGGAAAUAAGAGGAUCUAGACGAUGACUUUUAGUAUUCAAACUUUAUCUUAAAGGUUAAAGUGAUAAGGCAGAAUUAGGGUCUUAGAAUCCUGAGUACUUUUUACUAUCAAUUACUUAUAACAAAAGAAACCAUUCCAUAGUCCAUUUACGAGUUUAAAAGUUCAUUAUCGAUCCAUAUGAUCCUUUAAUAGCAUACCCAAAUGAAUUAGGCUUAACCUUUAGCACUUAAAUAGCUUAUAUAUACAUUUUGGGUCAAAUUGUCGUAAUAGGCAGUUUUUAUCCAAUCUGUCAACAAUUUAAAGUACAGUUUUACGCUAGCAAUUUCUGAGAGUUAAAUGACUAGCCCCAAGAAGUCUGGUGACAGAACUGCAAUCACUAGAACUUCAGGCACCGUCAUGGAAUGUUUUCCCGUCGUCUUCCCCGACAAACCAAAAACCAGAAAUCCAUAUUUCGGUGAUCGGAGGUCAACUCAGGUGAGUCCAAUCCCACCUCAUAACUUUGUGAAACCCCAAAUUAACUUAGGGGAAACACUCCUCACAUGAGUUCAUUUGGAGGAGAUCAUUUGGAGACCUUGGUUUGCUCUGAAAACCCAAGUCGAGGAGGUGACGAUGACAACUCCGGCAGAACUAGUUAAGCUUCUGGAAAGCUCAAAUGAAGGAAGAGGAAAGCAAGGAAUGGAUCGGAUGAGCCUUACCUAGAUGUUUGUGAGUUUAAGGGUCUUCCAUCUGAGUUUCAUCGUCGUUGAAAGGUUAACCGGCCAAAAUCCACUGAACUGAGAAGAAAAUGGGGGCCUUAGUUGCAGAAUAAGAAGGGGGGAUACAUUGAACUAGAAAGGAGGCACGAGAGCGUACCUAGGAGGAGCUACAAGUCGUUGUAGCCUCGGUAUCGUGGCUCACCGGAAACAGAGGGGGAGAAAAUGGAGGUCAAUUUUUGGAGGUUGAAGAGGCCAAACGGCUACUAUAGGUAGCUGAGACACAAGUGUUCCAUCCUAGAAUUUAAGAGGGGUUUAAAUAGUGAAGAUUGAUGAAGAAUCGUGGUAGAAGGGAGGGCGGAGAUCGCUAAGAUACUGUUCCCAAUCUGAUGAAGAUUCUGAGCUGGCGGCGUGAAGUCAGCAUACCGGGCACGCGACAGCUUCUAAUUG